UACGGGGGGUGCGAGCGUUGUCCGGAAUCACUGGGCGUAAAGGGCGCGUAGGCGGCCACCGCAAGUCGACUGUGAAAUCUCCGGGCUUAACCCGGAAAGGUCAGCCGAUACUGCGGGGCUAGAGUGCAGAAGGGGCAACUGGAAUUCUCGGUGGUAGCGGAUGAAUGCGUAGAUAUCGAGAGGAACACCUGCGGCGAAGGCGGGUUGCUGGGCUGACACGUGACGCUGGAGGCGCGAAAGCUAGGGGAGCGAACGGG
rnacentral:rRNA from 1 species